GCGUUGUCCGGAUUCAUUGGGCGUAAAGCGCGUGUAGGCGGCUAGGUAGGUCCGCUGUGAAAACUCGAGGCUCAACCUCGAGACGUCGGCGGAAACCCCCUGGCUAGAGUCCGGAAGAGGAGAGUGGAAUUCCUGGUGUAGCGGUGAAAUGCGCAGAUAUCAGGAAGAAUAUCCGUGGCGAAGGCGGCUCUCUGGGACGGUACUGACGCUGAGACGCGAAAGCGUG
rnacentral:rRNA from 1 species